GAUCCUGGCUCAAGACGAACGCUGGCGGCGUGCCUAAUACAUGCAAGUAGAACGCUGAAGGAGAAGCUUGCUUCUCUGGAUGAGUUGCGAACGGGUGAGUAACGCGUAGGUAACCUGCCUGGUAGCGGGGGAUAACUAUUGGAAACGAUAGCUAAUACCGCAUAAUAGUAGAUGUUGCAUGACAUUUGCUUAAAAGGUGCAAUUGCAUCACUACCAGAUGGACCUGCGUUG
rnacentral:rRNA from 1 species